UUGCCCCAGUAACGGCGAGUGAAGCGGCAACAGCUCAAAUUUGAAAUCUGGCUCCUAGAGUCCGAGUUGUAAUUUGUAGAGGAUGCUUUUGAUGCGGUGCCUUCCGAGUUCCCUGGAACGGGACGCCAUAGAGGGUGAGAGCCCCGUCUGGUCGGAUGCCAAAUCUCUGUAAAGCUCCUUCGACGAGUCGAGUAGUUUGGGAAUGCUGCUCAAAAUGGGAGGUAUAUGUCUUCUAAAGCUAAAUAUUGGCCAGAGACCGAUAGCGCACAAGUAGAGUGAUCGAAAGAUGAAAAGCACUUUGAAAAGAGGGUUAAAUAGUACGUGAAAUUGUUGAAAGGGAAGCGCCUAUGACCAGACUUGGGCCCGGUGAAUCAUCCAGCGUUCUCGCUGGUGCACUUUGCCGGGCACAGGCCAGCAUCAGUUUGUCUUGGGGGAAAAAGGCUUUGGGAACGUGGCUCCCUCGGGAGUGUUAUAGACCAUUGCAUAAUACCCUGGGACGGACUGAGGUUCGCGCAUCUGCAAGGAUGCUGGCGUAAUGGUCAUCAGCGACCCGUCUUGAAACACGGACCAAGGAGUCGUCUUCGUAUGCGAGUGUUCGGGUGUAAAACCCCUACGCGUAAUGAAAGUGAACGCAGGUGAGAGCUUCGGCGCAUCAUCGACCGAUCCUGAUGUUCUCGGAUGGAUUUGAGUAAGAGCAUACGGGGCCGGACCCGAAAGAAGGUGAACUAUUCCUGUAUAGGGUGAAGCCAGAGGAAACUCUGGUGGAGGCUCGCAGCGGUUCUGACGUGCGAAUCGAUCGUCAAAUAUGGGAAUGGGGGCGAAAGACUAAUCGA
rnacentral:rRNA from 1 species